CGUGAGGGAAAGGUGAAAAGAACCCCGGGAGGGGAGUGAAAGAGAACCUGAAACCAUAUGCCUACAAGAAGUCAGAGCCCGUUAAAGGGUGAUGGCGUGCCUUUUGUAGAAUGAACCGGCGAGUUACUGUAUGGAGCGAGGUUAAGCAGGAUAUGCGGAGCCGAAGCGAAAGCGAGUCUUAAGAGGGCGCGAGUUGCAUGCAGUAGACCCGAAACCGGGUGAUCUAGCCAUGACCAGGUUGAAGUUGGGGUAAAACCCGAUGGAGGACCGAACCGACCCCCGUUGAAACGUUGGCGGAUGAGUUGUGGCUAGGGGUGAAAUUCCAAUCGAACCCGGAGAUAGCUGGUUCUCCCCGAAAUAGCUUUAGGGCUAGCGUCGAGAGAAGAGUUGCGUGAAGGUAGAGCACUGAAUAUGUGAUGGCCCCAUCUCGGGGUACUGAGCAUAAUCAAACUGCGAAUGUCACGCCAACAUGCUCGGCAGUCAGACAGCGGGUGAUAAGGUCCGUUGUCAAGAGGGAAACAGCCCAGACCAUCAGCUAAGGUCCCAAAAUGUAUGCUAAGUGGAAAAGGAUGUGGAGAUGUACAGACAACUAGGAGGUUGGCUCAGAAGCAGCCAUCCUUUAAAGAGUGCGUAACAGCUCACUAGUCGAAUGACUCUGCGCCGAUAAUUUACCGGGGCUAAGCAUACUACCGAAGCUAUGGAUCCCAAGGGAUGGUAGGGGAGCGUUCCAUGAACGGAGAAGUACGACCGAAAGGACGUGUGGAGAUCAUGGAAGAGAGAAUGCCGGUGUGAGUAGCGGAACGUGGGUGAGAAUCCCACGCACCGAAAACCCAAGGUUUCCAGAGGAAGGUUCGUCCGCUCUGGGUAAGUCGGGACCUAAGGCGAGGCCGAAAGGCGUAGUCGAUGGACAACAGGUAGAGAUUCCUGUACCCGUAUAUAUGUGAAGGAAUGACGGAGAGAGGAAGCUGCAGCCAGCGGCUGGAAGAGCUGGUGCAAGCGAGAUAUCGGGAUGGCAGGCAAAUCCACCAUCCGAAACGAGAAGGCGUGAAGCGUACGGAAAGCUACGGCGAGUACGGAAGGCAGUGGAGGAACUUCCAAGAAAAGUUUCUAACGUUAAGUAUAUAUGGCCCGUACCGAAAAUGGACACACAUGGGUGAGGAGAGAAUCCUAAGGUGAGCGAGAGAACUAUAGCUAAGGAACUCUGCAAAAUGACUCCGUAACUUAGGGAGAAGGAGUGCUCAUAGAGAUAUGAGCCGCAGUGAAACGGCCCAAGCGACUGUUUACCAAAAACACAGCUCUCUGCUAAGCCGCAAGGCGAAGUAUAGGGGGUGACGCCUGCCCGGUGCUGGAAGGUUAAGGGGAGGGGUUAACGCAAGUGAAGCCCUGAACUGAAGCCCCAGUAAACGGCGGCCGUAACUAUAACGGUCCUAAGGUAGCGAAAUUCCUUGUCAGGUAAGUUCUGACCCGCACGAAAGGCGUAACGAUUUGGGCGCUGUCUCAGCUGUAGACUCGGUGAAGUCUUAGUACCUGUGAAGAUGCAGGUUACCCGCGACUAGACGGAAAGACCCCAUGGAGCUUCACUGCAGGUUGAUAUUGGGAUUUGAUGCAGCAUGUACAGGAUAGGUAGGAGGCAAAGAGAUGGAUACGCCAGUAUUCAAGGAGCCGCUGUUGGGAUACUACCCCUGUUGUAUUGGAUUUCUAACCGGACGACGUAGAGCCGUUGACGGGACAGUGUCAGUCGGGCAGUUUGACUGGGGCGGUCGCCUCCCAAAGAGUAACGGAGGCGCCCAAAGAUACCCUCAGCUUGGAUGGAAACCAAGCGCAGAGUGCAAAGGCAAAAGGGUGUUUGACUGCGAGACCUACAAGUCGAGCAGGGACGAAAGUCGGGCUUAGUGAUCCGGCGGUGCUGAAUGGAAAGGCCGUCGCUCAACGGAUAAAAGCUACCCUGGGGAUAACAGGCUGAUCUCCCCCAAGAGUUCACAUCGACGGGGAGGUUUGGCACCUCGAUGUCGGCUCAUCGCAUCCUGGAGCUGAAGUCGGUUCCAAGGGUUGGGCUGUUCGCCCAUUAAAGCGGUACGCGAGCUGGGUUCAGAACGUCGUGAGACAGUUCGGUCCCUAUCUGUCGUGGGCGCAGGAAAUUUGAGAAGAGCUGUCCUCAGUACGAGAGGACCGGGAUGGACGCAUCAAUGGUGGACCAGUUGUCACGCCAGUGGCAUAGCUGGGUAGCUAAAUGCGGAAGGGAUAAACGCUGAAGGCAUCUAAGUGUGAAACCCACUUCAAGAUGAGAUUUCCCAUUGC
rnacentral:rRNA from 1 species